GCGUUGGUGGUUCAGUGGUAGAAUACUCGCCUGCCACGCGGGUGGCCCGGGUUCGAUUCCCGGCCGACGCA
rnacentral:tRNA from 5 species